rnacentral:snoRNA from 1 species
GUAGUCCUAAAUCGAUGGCAGUUUAUCGCAUUUCCCUGCAAAACUGCCUACAAAUGGACUCAUAGGAACUCGUCUUAAUAUCCUUGUGCUCAAAGAAACCCAACUUUCCGCUCUCCUGGAACUUAAGACUACACU